GUGAAUCAUCAAAUUUUUGAACGCAAAUUGCACUCUCUUCGGAUAGUAUGCCUGUUUGAGGUUCAGCCUAAAAAAAAAUCGACAUAGGCUCUGUUUCGCGGUUACAUUCGUCGUAAAUUGGGUCAUCUUAAACUUUUGUGUUUUAAGCGGCUUAAAUUUUGUUUUAUGAUUCCACGAAGGAUUCUUAAAUUUACUUCUUAUACGUGUAGGUUAAUGUAUCUUUAUUAGAUGGUGCCGUUUGAUCU
rnacentral:misc_RNA from 1 species